rnacentral:rRNA from 1 species
GAUGAACGCUAGCGGGAGGCUUAACACAUGCAAGUCGAGGGGCAGCACGGGGUAGCAAUACUCUGGUGGCGACCGGCGCACGGGUGAGUAACACGUAUGCAACCUACCCUGUACAGGGGGAUAACCCGGAGAAAUUCGGACUAAUAUCCCAUAAUGAUAUUGAAAGGCAUCUUUUGAUAUUUAAAGCUCAGGCGGUACGGAUGGCGAUGCGGAACAUUAGCUAGUUGGCAGGGUAACGGCCUACCAAGGCUGCGAUGUUUAGGGGUACCGUGAGAGGGUGGAACCCCCACCACUGGUACUGAGACACGGACCAGACUCCUACGGGUGGCUG